rnacentral:rRNA from 1 species
UACGUAGGCAGCAAGCGUUGUUCGGAGUUACGGGGCGUAAAGGGUGCGUAGGCGGCUUCUUAAGUCUGGUGUGAAAUCUCCCGGCUCAACUGGGAGGGUGCGCCGGAUACUGAGGGGCUAGAGUGUGGGAGAGGAAAGUGGAAUUCCUGGUGUAGCGGUGAAAUGCGUAGAUAUCAGGAGGAACACCGGUGGUGUAAACGGCUUUCUGGACCAUAACUGACGCUGAGGCACGAAAGCGUGGGUAGCAAACAGG